UUAACUGUGCCAGGAGAGCUUUGGAGUCCUCCUGCCACCCUGAAGGGACCAAUAACAAACCUAGGAACGGCAAAAGGCUUUUCAAAUCUAAAUUUAAUAUGAGAAAACUCCUAGUGUUCACAAGCUGUGGAUAAGUAGUGUCUAGAGGGCUGGCAGUGCUAGUACAGGUGAGGCUGGAGCAGGCUGAGCAUCCCCAGGCACCAAAUGAGACGCAGACUGAAUGAGGAGCAAAAGGGUCAGUUCUGGGCUACGAAAACUGAGCCUUUUCAGGGGCAUUUUGAAAAAUACAAUUGACUGCUAUGUGAAAAUACAUGGACUGGCUGUAAAUGCUGAGAUGCAGCACCACUGCGAGCAGAAGGCUAUAGAAAUGGGGAAGAAAAGUUUAGACUUUACAGCUGAGUACUUGGCAGGUUUGCUAGAAAAAUAAGAUUAUGUCUCAUUUUCUAAUGAAUGUGCAGAAAGCUGGAAAAUAAUUGCCAAGCCUGGUAAGAUUAAUGAGAGCCUUUGUUGCUACUGUAGGACAGUGUUUGAUUUCAUUUUAAUACAGGAAUUAAUGCUAGGGAGGUCUGUGCAGGACAUAGCUGGAAGACGGAAGGAGAAUCUCAGUAUAACUUUAUGAAGUUUCUAACCCUCACACCUGUAAAGAAAAAUAAAAAUUAAUGUAGAGAAAGAUAAAAGUUAAUGUAGAAAGCAUGAAACCCAAAAGCUAAAUACCUGAAAACAAGCAGUAGAACUUGAAAACUGUUAUUUUAAAAUAUCACAUAUCGUGUAUCUAGGGCAAUCUCUUGGUGUUAGAGGGUCUGUCUCAGGAAGUUUGGUUGCUCAGGGUUAUCUACUGCUUGCUCAGCUGCUAUUGCCACUGCUGAUGAAAUCAAAUCAGUCAUUUCCUCUCUAGUUACUUUAGACACACCUCACAGACAUAUUAAUUUCUGGACAAAUUCUGUAUUUGUUACAGACAGGUAGGAUAUUUAGUGCUUGGGGAGGAUUCACAGGAAAAAAGCCUUGUUGUCUCUUCUUACAUAAAACUGAGCAAAUAAAUGUACUGAGAUAACAAACCCACAGCACUGGUAACCUACAUGCCAGACCCGUCUGUUUUAUCACUGAGCUACUAUUGUUUGUUUGUGUAGACUGCUAACUCUUUGCUUUUCACAUCUUGCUAACAUAUUCUGCACAUUCUGUCAAGCUGAGGUUCUCACCACCACUACCGUGUCACGGGCUGUCUCAGAAGUGAGCUUCAAGGAUGUGCCCUGAUGAGAAGCCUCGAGAAGGAUGCCAGAGUUUUCUGCUUCAGGCUUUGGUACUUAAAGGCAGGAGAAAGCAAAGAAGAAAUAAAUAAAAUGUAUUUAGAAAUGAGUAGGAAAUCUAAUAAGGAGCAUGUUUACUGCAGCUGAGUGAAAAUCUUCAUGUCUGCGUGUAACAAACGCAGAUUUAAUUUAUCAAAAAUGUUCAUACUGGAAGCGGCACAGUCCGUAGCUGGGGGAGGAUUAUUAACUUCCCUGCCUCUUACCCUCUGAGUGCAGGAAUAACAUAUGCAUAGCAUGUCAGAUGUCUGAUUACUAUUGGUGAGAGCUGACUAGCUAUAAACCAGCCCCAGUUUUCAAGUCAAAUUGCUUAACGUGGUGCUGGUCCUGGGCUAGUAGCCCCUAAGCUUGGGCUUAUUAGCAUGGCACCACAGCUCUCCAGCACCCAUCCAGCUCUGCAUACAGAGGAGCAGACACAUCCCUCUCUGCCUGCCCAGCUACUUCUGUUCUUAAAUAAUCUCCUACCAGUCACGCUGAUUAUUUUGCUGUUGUGUGUUACCCUGUCACACAUUCUGCUCUGACGCUGGACCCAGGCAGGUGGUUUGACGCUUCCCUACUGUGGACGGCUGCUCUCCCAGCAGGCUGCUUCACGGCCCUUUGUACACCUGGAUUAGCCAUGUUUUGGGUAGGAGGUGGAGGAGGGAGAUAUUCUCUGCAGUGGGGGGCAGGGAAGUGUUAAAUUUGAGGUACUGGUCAUUUAUGGGUCAGAUCAUUUUUUUGGAUGAAGGUAGUAAGUGAACUGAAAGUGUGGGCAAAUGGGAAUUUCAGAGAGUAAUUGAGGGUGCAAAUAAUUUGUGUGGAGAGGCACAAGCAUAUGAAUAUAGGGAAAAAAAAGACUGUUAUGGCUCUAGCGGAAGGGAGGACAGACAGUUAUCUCCAUUUGCCUCACAGCAUCAUCACCGCAGAGACAGACUCCUCCCAUGUGCUGGGCUCAGCAGCAUCACUCAGCGAGCCCGUGGGAGGUAGCUGCAUCACCCCAAGGUGCUCCUUUUCCCAGAGAGCAGGCACAUGCUCACACUCCUGCUGGUGCUGACCCAGGGACAACAGCUACCCUGUGUGUUUUGGUUUGUGUUGGUGCUUCUUGCGCCCAACUGAAAAAUGAAGGGUCUUGACUGCUAAGCAGAAGGACUCCUUGCCUUUAUUGGAAAGAAUUCAGCAUCCUACAGGCUUUGAGCAAUAGAAGAUAGCAGAGAAGUGGGAAAGUCCUUGCAGCAGUAGUUACUGGCUGGUCAGGACACCUCAGUGGUGCUCUCCCCUCACGGGGAUAAAACGAUGGGCCCUAUAAUGCACCACGGAUCCCGACUCUUCCGCUUCAGGUCUGCCAGUUGGAGCAGCCGCUGCAUCCACAGCUCCCCACCUGAGGACAAAGUGGGACUGCUGGAGACAAUCAUUGGAUUCUCGGCAUUUUCACUGGCAGUUCUUGGACCGGCUGGAUGGUUCCUGUGCCACCUUCCAAGCUAUAAAAAGAAAUAGAAAACAUCCCUUCAAAAUAAAAAUCUGAAGGCUGCAAUAAACUGUAAUACUCCUAACUUGGACUCUCUUGAAAAGGAGAACACAGCGGCUUGAGGGACAGUUUAAAACAAAAUGAUUCGAAAAUGAGUUCAGGUUUUACAUGUGUCACAUUGCUUCUGCAAGAAAAAAUCCAAAAGUCCAGAGGCUAACUAAAGUCCCAGCUCACACACUGCCAUCAAUCAGUGCCGAGGGACAGGUCCCAGGUCAGAAAGCUUCUGCACAUAAAAUGAUGUAGCGAUGUAAAAUAGUGGCAGGUCUACUCUUCCAUCAUCUGCUGCAGCUGGACUAGUCUGCAUCGACUAGUCUGAAUCUGUCCCCAGGCACCGUCCAAAUUUUAAACUAAAUAAAUGGGAGAAAAUACAGAAAAAAAAUAUUAUAGUACUUUCAUUUAUACUCAUCUCAGAAAAAAACCCUGAGAGUUUAAGAUUAUUUUCUUGUAAGUUUAUUUUUAAUCUUUACAUGUGUUCUUUUGGUGUGUUCCCCCACCCAAUCUACUUUUCCACUAGAAUAAAUGUUUUUAUGCAGGUCAUGAUUGUCAGAUACUUCAAUUUCUUUUCAAUUUUUAGAUUAAAAUCUGUGACAUUUGAGAGAUUUUCCCAUGGUUGCUAUUUAAAAUGAAUGCUAUGAUAAAUACUUUGAAGUCUAGACUAUAUUUGAAGUAAGUACAAUAAAUAAAUACAACUUGUUCUGUUAUGUUACAUUUGUUAUAAAGGAAUAUCUCCUAAUGAUUUCAUGUCUGUCUUGCAAAAAAAUACAGAAUAUUAACCUUUUGUUAUGCUUAAGUAUUAGUAGAAUAUGCUUUAUAAUUCCAUUAAGUCACUUGUAAUGUCAAAUAUCAAAACAGGUUCUGAAACUAGGACUGUGAAUGUGUAAAAGUGUACAUUCUUGCUGUACUUCUAAAGUAUGAUUUUCAAAUAAAUUGCCUGAGUUCCUUUCAGUCUUCUAA